rnacentral:rRNA from 1 species
AUAGCGUAUAUUUAAGUUGUUGCAGUUAAAAAGCUCGUAGUUGGAUCUUGGGUCGGGGGGAGCGGUCCGCCCCUCGUGGGUGUGCACUGGUGUCCACCGACCUUGUUUUUAUUUUUCUGCCGGGGACGCGCUCCUGGCCUUCGCUGGUCGGGACGCGGAGUCGGCGACGUUACUUUGAAAAAAUUAGAGUGCUCAAAGCAAGCCUACGCUCUGAAUACAUUAGCAUGGAAUAACGCGAUAGGACUCUGGUCCUGUCUCCGUUGGUCUUCGGGACCGGAGUAAUGAUUGAUAGGGACAGUUGGGGGCAUUCGUAUUUCAUUGUCAGAGGUGAAACUCUUGGAUUUAUGAAAGACGAACUUCUG